rnacentral:rRNA from 1 species
UACGUAGGGUGCGAGCGUUGUCCGGAAUUAUUGGGCGUAAAGGGCUCGUAGGCGGUCUGUUGCGUCGGGAGUGAAAACUCAGGGCUUAACCCUGAGCCUGCUUCCGAUACGGGCAGACUAGAGGUAUGCAGGGGGAGAACGGAAUUCCCGGUGUAGCGGUGAAAUGCGCAGAUAUCAGGAGGAACACCGGUGGCGAAGGCGGUCUCUGGGCAUUACCUGACGCUGAGGAGCGAAAGUGUGGGAGCGAACAGG